UACAGGAGGGGGGCAAGCGUUUAUUCGGAAAUUAUUGGGGCGUAAAGGGCGCGUAGGCGGCUUGGCAAGUGGAUGGUGAAAUCCCUCGGCUUAACCGAGGAACUGCCGUCCAAACUGCUUUGCUUGAGACCGGGAGAGGUGAGUGGAAUUCCCAGUGUAGCGGUGAAAUGCGUAGAUAUUGGGAGGAACACCAGUGGCGAAGGCGGCUCACUGGACCGGUACUGACGCUGAUGCGCGAAAGCGUGGGGAGCAAACGGG
rnacentral:rRNA from 1 species